AAUAGAUACCCUGGUAGUCCACCCCGUAAACGUUGGGAACUAGUUGUGGGGUCCAUUCCACGGAUUCCGUGACGCAGCUAACGCAUUAAGUUCCCCGCCUGGGGAGUACGGCCGCAAGGCUAAAACUCAAAGGAAUUGACGGGGACCCGCACAAGCGGCGGAGCAUGCGGAUUAAUUCGAUGCAACGCGAAGAACCUUACCAAGGCUUGACAUAUAGAGGAAACGGCUGGAAACAGUCGCCCCGCAAGGUCUCUAUACAGGUGGUGCAUGGUUGUCGUCAGCUCGUGUCGUGAGAUGUUGGGUUAAGUCCCGCAACGAGCGCAACCCUCGUUCUAUGUUGCCAGCACGUAAUGGUGGGAACUCAUGGGAUACUGCCGGGGUCAACUCGGAGGAAGGUGGGGAUGACGUCAAAUCAUCAUGCCCCUUAUGUCUUGGGCUUCACGCAUGCUACAAUGGCCGGUACAAAGGGCUGCAAUACCGUAAGGUGGAGCGAAUCCCAAAAAGCCGGUCCAGUUCGGAUUGAGGUCUGCAACUCGACCUCA
rnacentral:rRNA from 1 species